CAGAGUUCCUGCCCUCACGGGUAGAAACCCCACCCUUGUAUAUUAUAUAUUGUUGCUUUGGCGGGCCGCCCUCACGGGCACCGGCUCACGCUGGCUCGCGCCCGCCGGGGGACCCAAACUCUUGUAUUUCUUACUUUGCAUGUCUGAGUGGAAUCAUAAACAAAUGAAUCA
rnacentral:misc_RNA from 1 species